UAGAUUACGGCUCAGUAACACGUAGUCAACCUAACCUAUGGACGGGGAUAACCUCGGGAAACUGAGAAUAAUACCCGAUAGAUCAUGAUACCUGGAACGGUUUAUGGUUCAAAUGAUUUAUCGCCAUAGGAUGGGACUGCGGUCUAUCAGCUUGUUGGUGAGGUAAUGGCCCACCAAGGCUAUAACAGAUACGGGCUCUGAGAGGAGGGGCCCGGAGAUGGGUACUGAGACACGGACCCAGGUCCUAUGGGGCGCAGCAGGCGAGAAACCUUUGCAAUGUGCGAAAGCACGACAAGGUUAAUCCGAGUGAUUCCUGCUAAAGGAAUCUUUUGUUAGUCAUAAAACCACUGAUGAAUAAGGGGUGGGCAAGUUCUGGUGUCAGCCGCCGCGGUAAUACCAGCACCUCGAGUGGUCAGGAGGUUUAUUGGGCCUAAAGCAUCCGUAGCCGGCCGUUCAAGUUUCCGGUUAAAUCCACACGCUUAACGUAUGGGCUGCCGGAAAUACUGUUCAGCUAGGGAGUGGGAGAGGUAGACGGUACUCGAUAGGAAGGGGUAAAAUCCUUUGAUCUAUUGAUGACCACCUGUGGCGAAGGCGGUCUACCAGAACACGUUCGACGGUGAGGGAUGAAAGCUGGGGGAGCAAACCGGAUUAGAUACCCGGGUAGUCCCAGCUGUAAACGAUGCAGACUCGGUGAUGCAUUGGCUUGUGGCCAGUGCAGUGCCGCAGGGAAGCCGUUAAGUUUGCCGCCUGGGAAGUACGUACGCAAGUAUGAAACUUAAAGGAAUUGGCGGGGGAGCACCACAAGGGGUGAAGCCUGCGGUUCAAUUGGAUUCAACGCCGGGA
rnacentral:rRNA from 1 species